UACGUAGGGGCCGAGCGUUGUCCGGAGUUACUGGGCGUAAAGCGCGCGCAGGCGGCUCGUCAAGCCUGACGUGAAAGCCCCCGGCUCAACCGGGGAGGGUCGUCGGGGACUGGCGAGCUUGAGGUCGGCAGGGGUUGGUGGAAUUCCCGGUGUAGUGGUGAAAUGCGUAGAGAUCGGGAGGAACACCCGUGGCGAAGGCGGCUCACUGGACCGGUACUGACGCUGAGGCGCGAAAGCGUGGGGAGCAAACGGG
rnacentral:rRNA from 1 species